rnacentral:rRNA from 1 species
AAUCAACGCUGGCGGCGCGCUUAACACAUGCAAGUCGCACGAGAAAGUGGAGCAAUCCAUGAGUACAGUGGCGUACGGGUGAGUAACACGUGGGUAAUCUACCUCUUAGUGGGGAAUAACUCUGGGAAACCGGAGCUAAUACCGCAUAAGCCUGGAAAGGGAAAGCAGCAAUGCGCUGAGAGGGGAGCCCGCGGCCGAUUAGCUAGUUGGUAGGUAAAAGCCUACCAAGGCAAUGAUCGGUAGCCGGCCUGAGAGGGCACACGGCCACACUGGCACUGAAACACGGGCCAGACUCCUACGGGAGGCAGCAGUGGGGAAUCUUGCACAAUGGGGGCAACCCUGAUGCAGCGACGCCGCGUGAGCGAUGAAGCCC